rnacentral:lncRNA from 1 species
AUGGCACAGCAGAGCUCUGUGUUUACCUUGGACAGCUCAGGCAGGCUGAGGGAAGCCAAGGGUUGCACAAGAACAGAGAUUCUUUGUGCCCUGGCAGGUCCCCUCUCCUCUCACCCUGCUGAUUUACAAACAUUCUUUCAAAGAAUGAAGGGCACUGCUGGCUCAGCCAGCCUGGGAUGCCACAGCCCGAGGAGGUGGCACCUGGAGCACCUCUGUGGGUUCCAAACUCUGCUUUGCUUGGGGACCUGCUCCGUGGUGGCCACGAGGCUCCCAGGACAGGAGGAACGGCCUCAGGCUUUGCAGGCUGGACAGCAGCAGGAAUUCCUGCAGGAAAAGGUGCCCAGGUGUUUGAAGCAGGAAUUCCUGCAAGGAAAGUGUGCCCAGGUGUUGGCAGCAGGAGUUCCUGCAAGGAAAAGGCGCUCCGGUGUUGGCAGCAGGAAUUCCUGCAGGAAAAGGUGCCCAGGUGUUGGCAGCAGGAAUUCCUGCAAGGAAAAGGUGCCCAGGUGUUGGCAGCAGAAAUUUCUGCAAGGAAAAGGUGCCCAGGUGUUGGCAGCAGGAAUUCCUGCAAGGAAAAGGUGCCCAGGGGGGCUGGGAGUCCCCAGGCCCGGAGGUGGCACAAGCUGGGGAUGGGCACAGGUUGGGCUGGGAGAGCUUUUCCAGCCUCAGUGACCCCGGGAUGCACCAGAGAAGGAAAUCCAUCACACCAGUGGUGAGCACAGGUGAAGCCCAAGUCACCCCCUUCUUGGUCUGGAAAUGUGCAACCUCAGGGUGGAAACUUUGGGAAAGUUAAUGAAGGAAAAAAAAACCCUCUAGAGCUUGAAAAACUCACAUUUGUGUUUGUGAGAACUCACUUCUAAGGCGAGCUGCCAGCUGGAAGCAUCAGUCUCUGUGCUAGGAGGGCUCAGUCCUGGUUUUGAUGCAUUUCUUUAAUAUCUCUCAGACAUUCAAAAGCACUCUUACGUCACCAGGAAUUUCUUUUGUAUCACAUUAUUUAAUAAAAACCUGCUGAAGACAUCA